UACGAAGGGGGCUAGCGUUGCUCGGAAUUACUGGGCGUAAAGCGCACGUAGGCGGAUUGUUAAGUCAGGGGUGAAAUCCUGGAGCUCAACUCCAGAACUGCCUUUGAUACUGGCGAUCUCGAGUCCGGGAGAGGUGAGUGGAACUGCGAGUGUAGAGGUGAAAUUCGUAGAUAUUCGCAAGAACACCAGUGGCGAAGGCGGCUCACUGGUCCGGUUCUGACGCUGAGGCGCGAAAGCUAGGGGAGCGAACGUGG
rnacentral:rRNA from 1 species